rnacentral:rRNA from 1 species
UACGGAGGGAGCUAGCGUUAUUCGGAAUUACUGGGCGUAAAGCGCACGUAGGCGGCUUUGUAAGUUAGAGGUGAAAGCCUGGAGCUCAACUCCAGAACUGCCUUUAAGACUGCAUCGCUUGAAUCCAGGAGAGGUGAGUGGAAUUCCGAGUGUAGAGGUGAAAUUCGUAGAUAUUCGGAAGAACACCAGUGGCGAAGGCGGCUCACUGGACUGGUAUUGACGCUGAGGUGCGAAAGCGUGGAGAGCAAACAGG